rnacentral:rRNA from 1 species
UUUUCCAUAACUCUGAGGUGCGAAGUGGUUCUGACCUUUUGGUACAGAGAAGUCAUUGAUGCCCGGCUUCCAGGAAAAGCUGCUAGCCAUAACUUAUAGAGAACCGUACCGCAAACCGACACAGGUGGACAGGUAGAGAAUACUAAGGCGCUUGAGAGAACUCGGGUGAAGGAACUAGGCAAAAUGGUACCGUAACUUCGGGAGAAGGUACGCCCUUUCUGGUGAUGGGAUUUACUUUCAGAGCUGGAGAGGGCCGCAGAGACCAGGUGGCUGCGACUGUUUAUUAAAAACACAGCACUCUGCAAAUUCGUAAGAAGACGUAUAGGGUGUGACGCCUGCCCGGUGCCGGAAGGUUAAUUGAUGGGGUUAUCUUCGGAGAAGCUCUUGAUCGAAGCCCCGGUAAACGGCGGCCGUAACUAUAACGGUCCUAAGGUAGCGAAAUUCCUUGUCGGGUAAGUUCCGACCUGCACGAAUGGCGUAACGAUGGCCACACUGUCUCCACCCGAGACUCAGUGAAAUUGAAAUCGCUGUGAAGAUGCAGUGUACCCGCGGCUAGACGGAAAGACCCCGUGAACCUUUACUAUAGUUUUGCACUGGACUUUGAUGAUGACUGUGUAGGAUAGGUGGGAGGCUGUGAAGUGAGGACGCUAGUUCUCAUGGAGCCGCCCUUGAAAUACCACCCUGUUGUUAUUGAGGUUCUAACUUGGUCCAGUAAUCCUGGAUGAGGACAGUGUAUGAUGGGUAGUUUGACUGGGGCGGUCUCCUCCCAAAGAGUAACGGAGGAGCACAAAGGUACCCUCGGUACGGUCGGACAUCGUACCAAGAGUGUAAAGGCAAAAGGGUGCUUGACUGCGAGAGUGACGGCUCGAGCAGGAACGAAAGUUGGUCUUAGUGAUCCGGUGGUUCUGAAUGGAAGGGCCAUCGCUCAACGGAUAAAAGGUACUCCGGGGAUAACAGGCUGAUACCGCCCAAGAGUUCAUAUCGACGGCGGUGUUUGGCACCUCGAUGUCGGCUCAUCACAUCCUGGGGCUGAAGCAGGUCCCAAGGGUAUGGCUGUUCGCCAUUUAAAGUGGUACGCGAGCUGGGUUUAGAACGUCGUGAGACAGUUCGGUCCCUAUCUGCCGUGGGCGUAGGAAAAUUGAGAGGAGCUGCUCCUAGUACGAGAGGACCGGAGUGGACGAACCUCUGGUGCACCGGUUGUCACGCCAGUGGCAUGGCCGGGUAGCUAAGUUCGGACGGGAUAACCGCUGAAAGCAUCUAAGCGGGAAGCCUCCCUCAAGAUGAGUUUUCCCAUGAAGCCCGUUGAAGACUACGACGUUGAUAGGCAAGGUGUGGAAGCGCAGUAAUGCGUGAAGCUAACUUGUACUAAUUGGCUGAUUGUCUUGACCAU